CCUUUUUAAAAUGAUGCAAGACCGCAUCUUUGCAGUAUUUUUACCGCGUGAGAGGAUAAAGAUAAGUGGUUGCUCAUUUGAAUUCAAAUUGAAUUUGAAUUUAAAUGCCAACCAACUCAUUCUUAUCCACUCUACACAUGAGAAGAGAGAAGGUGUGGCUUCUUUGUGCAUGGAGAGAUUUCACAAGAAACUCUUUCUCGUGUAUGAUAAGUGACGCACA
rnacentral:lncRNA from 1 species